rnacentral:rRNA from 1 species
UACAGAGGGGGCAAGCGUUGUUCGGAAUUACUGGGCGUAAAGGGCGCGUAGGCGGCCUGCUAAGUCGAACGUGAAAUCCCCGAGCUCAACUCGGGAACUGCGUCCGAUACUGGCAGGGCUUGAAUCCGGGAGAGGGAUGCGGAAUUCCAGGUGUAGCGGUGAAAUGCGUAGAUAUCUGGAGGAACACCGGUGGCGAAGGCGGCAUCCUGGACCGGCAUUGACGCUGAGGCGCGAAAGCUAGGGGAGCAAACGGGG